AGUGAACGCUGGCGGUAGGCCUAACACAUGCAAGUCGAACGGCAGCACAGUAAGAGCUUGCUCUUACGGGUGGCGAGUGGCGGACGGGUGAGGAAUACAUCGGAAUCUACUUUUUCGUGGGGGAUAACGUAGGGAAACUUACGCUAAUACCGCAUGCGACCUACGGGUGAAAGCAGGGGAUCUUCGGACCUUGCGCGAUUGAAUGAGCCGAUGUCGGAUUAGCUAGUUGGCGGGGUAAAGGCCCACCAAGGCGACGAUCCGUAGCUGGUCUGAGAGGAUGAUCAGCCACACUGGAACUGAGACACGGUCCAGACUCCUACGGGAGGCAGCAGUGGGGAAUAUUGGACAAUGGGCGCAGGCCUGAUCCAGCCAUACCGCGUGGGUGAAGAAGGCCUUCGGGUUGUAAAGCCCUUUUGUUGGGAAAGAAAAGCAGCAGGUUAAUACCCCGCUGUUCUGACGGUACCCAAAGAAUAAGCACCGGCUAACUUCGUG
rnacentral:rRNA from 1 species